GCGAAUCGCUAAAAGACCGUCCCACGUUCGGAUUGCAGGCUGCAACCCGCCUGCAUGAAGUUGGAAUCGCUAGUAAUCGCGGAUCAGCAUGCCGCGGUGAAUACGUUCCCGGGCCUUGUACACACCGCCCGUCACACCAUGAGAGUCGGGAACACCCGAAGUCCGUAGCCUGACCGCAAGGGGGGCGCGGCCGAAGGUGGGUUCGAUAAUUGGGGUGAAGUCGUAACAAGGUAUC
rnacentral:rRNA from 1 species